rnacentral:rRNA from 1 species
GAGUUUGAUCGUGGCUCAGAUUGAACGCUGGCGGCAGGCCUAACACAUGCAAGUCGAGCGGUAGAGAGAAGCUUGCUUCUCUUGAGAGCGGCGGACGGGUGAGUAAUGCCUAGGAAUCUGCCUGGUAGUGGGGGAUAACGCUCGGAAACGGACGCUAAUACCGCAUACGUCCUACGGGAGAAAGCAGGGGACCUUCGGGCCUUGCGCUAUCAGAUGAGCCUAGGUCGGAUUAGCUAGUUGGUGAGGUAAUGGCUCACCAAGGCGACGAUCCGUAACUGGUCUGAGAGGAUGAUCAGUCACACUGGAACUGAGACACGGUCCAGACUCCUACGGGAGGCAGCAGUGGGGAAUAUUGGACAAUGGGCGAAAGCCUGAUCCAGCCAUGCCGCGUGUGUGAAGAAGGUCUUCGGAUUGUAAAGCACUUUAAGUUGGGAGGAAGGGCAGUAAAUUAAUACUUUGCUGUUUUGACGUUACCGACAGAAUAAGACACCGGCUAACUCUGUGCCAGCACG